AUUGAACGCUGGCGGCAGGCCUAACACAUGCAAGUCGAACGAGUGGCGGACGGGUGAGUAAUGUCUGGGAAUCUGCCCUAUGGAGGGGGAUAACUACGGGAAACUGUCGCUAAUACCGCAUACUAUCGUAUGACCCCAUCUGGGAUUAGCUAGUAGGUGGGGGAAAGGCUCACCUAGGGGACGAUCUCUAGCUGGUCUGAGAGGAUGAACAGCCACACUGGGACUGAGACACGGCCCAGACUCCUACGGGAGGCAGCAGUGGGGAAUAUUGCACAAUGGGGGCAAGCCUGAUGCAGCCAUGCCGCGUGUAUGAAGAAGGCCUUCGGGUUGUAAAGUACUUUCAGCGGGGAGGCGUUACCCGCAGAAGAAGCACCGGCUAACUCCGUGCCAGCAGCCGCGGUAAUUC
rnacentral:rRNA from 1 species